CCUACGGGUGGCAGCAGUGGGGAAUAUUGCACAAUGGGGGAAACCCUGAUGCAGCGACGCCGCGUGAGUGAAGAAGUAUUUCGGUAUGUAAAGCUCUAUCAGCAGGGAAGAAAAUGACGGUACCUGAGUAAGAAGCCCCGGCUAACUACGGGCCAGCAGCCGCGGGAAUACGUAGGGGGCAAGCGUUAUCCGGAUUUACUGGGUGUAAAGGGAGCGUAGACGGCAGCACAAGUCUGGAGUGAAAUGCCGGGGCUUAACCCCGGAACUGCUUUGGAAACUGUGCAGCUAGAGUGCAGGAGAGUUAAGUGGCAUUCCUCGUGUAGCGGUGAAAUGCGUCGUUUUUAGGAGGCACACCAGUGGCGAAGGCGGCUUACUGGACUGUCACUGACGUUGCGGCUCGAAAGCGUGGGGAGCAAACAGGAUUAGAUACCCCAGUAGUC
rnacentral:rRNA from 1 species